AUGCUUGCUUUGGGAGCACAUAUACUAAGAAACUGGAAUGAUACAGAGAAGAUUAGCAUGGCUCCUGCCCAAGGAUGACAUGCAAACUCGUUAAGUGUUCCUUAUUUUC
ensembl:snRNA U6 U6 spliceosomal RNA